UUGACCUCGGAUCAGGUAGGGAUACCCGCUGAACUUAAGCAUAUCAAUAAGCGGAGGAAAAAGAAACCAACAGGGAUUGCCUCAGUAACGGCGA
rnacentral:rRNA from 1 species